GCCUUAAAUUUAACCUAAAUAUCCAACAAAUACCCAACAAACACACAUAAUUAAUAAAAGUAAACCAUUUUAACAAUUUAGUAUAGGUGAUAGAAAAAGUAUUAACGUUAUUAUUAGUACUGUAAAGGAAUAAUGAAAUAGAAAUUAAAUAAAUCAUAAAAGCAAAAAAAAGAAAAGAUUAAUACUUAUACCUUUUGCAUCAUGGUCUAGCAAGUCCAACUUAACAAAAAGAUUUUUAGUUAAACACCCCGAAACUAGACAAGCUACUCUAAAGCAGGAUAAAGAACUAACCCUUCUCUGUGGCAAAAGAGUGGGAUGACUUUUGAGUAGAGGUGAAAAGCCAAACGAGUCUAGAGAUAGCUGGUUUCUCAAGAAAUGGAUUUUAGUUCAGCAUUAAGCAUUUUAGCACAACAAAGCACGCUUAAAAGUUAAAUAAUUCAGGUCCAGCUGAAUUAUUAAAGAAAACAACCUAUAUAAAUGAGUAAGGAUUAUACUUAUUAAAGAAAUAAAUUUUGUAGGCUUAAAAGCAGCCAUCAAUUAAAAUAGAGUCAAAACUUAAUUUACUAAAACUUAUUAUACCAAUAUAAUUAACCAAACUCAUAACACCUAUUGAGACAGUCUAUCAAUAUAGAAAAGUUUAUGCUAGAACUAGUAAUAAGAAAAUAUUCUCUUAAUGCAAGUGUAAAUCAGAACGGAAAUACCACUGAUAAUUAACGAACUAUAUAAAAAGAACAAUACCACCUACAAGAAAACUUUUAUUAUUAAUAUCGUUAAACCAACACAGGAGCAUAAUAGAAAGAUUAAAAGAACUAAAAGGAACUCGGCAAACCUGGAUUCCGCCUGUUUACCAAAAGCAUCGCCUCUUGCAAUACUAAAUAUAAGAGGUCCCGCCUGCCCAGUGACAUUAGUUUAACGGCCGCGGUAUUAUAACCAUGCGAAGGUAGUGUAAUCACUUGUCUUUUAAAUAAAGACCUGUAUGAAUGGCAAAACGAGAAUUCAACUGUCUCUUAGUUCUAAUCAAUGAAACUAAUCCUCCCGUGCAGAAACGGGAAUAUAAAUAUAAGACGAGAAGACCCUAUGGAGCUUUAAACAUAAACUAUCUAUUUAUAUUAAACUAAUCAAAAGAUUAAACAUAUAAUUAUUAGCAUUAGCUCAAGUUUUUGGUUGGGGGGACCACGGACUAUAAACUAACUUCCGAGAUGAGCUGUAUUAGAAUUACAAUUCAAUAAAUAAAAAAUUUAACAUAAUUGACCCAAUUUUUGAUCAACGAACCAAGUUACCCUAGGGAUAACAGCGCAAUCCUUUCUAAGAGUCCUUAUCGACGAAUGGGUUUACGACCUCGAUGUUGGAUCAGGACACCCAAAUGGUGCAGCAGCUAUUAAAGGUUCGUUUGUUCAACGAUUAAAGUCCUACGUGAUCUGAGUUCAGACCGGAGCCAUCCAGGUCGGUUUCUAUCUAUAACAAAGUUUUUUUCAGCACGGAAGGACCAAAAAGACAAAGCCAAUAUAUAAAUUUGCUUUAUUUUUAAUUGUUGAAACCAAAUAAAAUAAUAUAAAACACAAGACUAAGCUCAAGAACAGAGCU
rnacentral:rRNA from 1 species